rnacentral:rRNA from 1 species
AUGGUGAAGAGUGUUAGCUUCCUCGUCGCGGUGCUUACCAUGGCCGUCUCCCUUCACUCGACGCAUGCGGUCUCUGCCGCAUUAUUCAAUCCCAAAGCCAUUGCUCAGCACCUUCCUAAGGUGGAUGGCUGGACCAAAGAAAACCUCAAGUCGAUGAAAAAGCUGAAGGAAAUUGUAGAUGCAGCCAAAGACGGUGUCGAGAAAGGCAUUAAGUUUCAUGAUAAGGACGCGCAAGGCCGCAGCAUCCAGUACUCCAGGGUCACCGGCAUAAUAGUCGGCGAUCACAAGCUUGAGGACGGCCAGCACGGUGUGAUCCUGAUCGUCACGGCCUUUCCUUUCCCGUUCCUCAACGAGAAGGCGUUCGGGCUACUCAAGGAUGAGUUCAGUACGGCCAAGGAGCUCCACCGUCAAUUCGGCCCGCUGUGCACGACGGACCUGUACCCGCCGGUCACGCUGGUCUACGCCGACGACGGUGCCGAGAAGAAGCAGGAGUGCCCCUGGCACAAGCAGAGCGACGGGUCCAUGUGCUUGGGCAUCCUCACGUUCCAGAAAUAG